rnacentral:rRNA from 1 species
GAUGAACGCUGGCGGCGUGCCUAAUACAUGCAAGUCGAGCGAACAGACGAGGAGCUUGCUCCUCUGACGUUAGCGGCGGACGGGUGAGUAACACGUGGAUAACCUACCUAUCAGACUGGGAUAACUUCGGGAAACCGGAGCUAAUACCGGAUAAUAUAUUGAACCGCAUGGUUCAAUAGUGAAAGACGGUUUUGCUGUCACUUAUAGAUGGAUCCGCGCCGCAUUAGCUAGUUGGUAAGGUAACGGCUUACCAAGGCAACGAUGCGUAGCCGACCUGAGAGGGUGAUCGGCCACACUGGAACUGAGACACGGUCCAGACUCCUACGGGAGGCAGCAGUAGGGAAUCUUCCGCAAAGGGCGAAAGCCUGACGGAGCAACGCCGCGUGAGUGAUGAAGGUCUUCGGAUCGUAAAACUCUGUUAUUAGGGAAGAACAAAUGUGUAAGUAACUAUGCACGUCUUGACGGUACCUAAUCAGAAAGCCACGGCUAACUACGUG